GUGGGAGGGGGCUUGCUCCCGAUAGCAGUGUGUCAGUCACUUAUAUGUUUACUGACCCACCGCAAUCGGGAGCAAGCCCCCUCCCAC
rnacentral:misc_RNA from 1 species